AAUGAACGUUGGCGGCGUGGAUUAGGCAUGCAAGUCGAGCGAGAAGUCCUUCGGGACGGACAGCGGCGAAAGGGAGAGGAAUACGUAGAAAUCUACCCCUGAGACCGGGAUAGCGUCGGGAAACUGGCAGUAAUACCGGAUAACGUCUUAGGACCAAAGGUGUGAUUCCACUUGGGGAUGAGUCUACGCCCUAUUAGCUAGUUGGUGGGGUAAUGGCCUACCAAGGCGAUGAUGGGUAGCGGGUGUGAGAGCAUGAUCCGCCUCACUGGGACUGAGAACUGCCCAGACACCUACGGGUGGCUGCAGUCGAGAAUCUUUGUCAAUGGACGAAAGUCUGAACAAGCGACGCCGCGUGCGGGAUGAAGGGCCUUCGGGUUGUAAACCGCUGUCGUAGGGGAACAAAAUGUACGGGGGUUCUCCCCUGUAUUUGAGUGAUCCUAGGAGGAAGGGAGGCUAAGCUCGUGCCAGCAGUCCGCGGUAAGGUACUCUAU
rnacentral:rRNA from 1 species